AUGGAGAGAGCAGAGGUUAUGGCGGAUCAAAUCGCCAAGGUUUUCCGCCAUUAGAGGCGAUGAGACUGAAGUCUCUGUCGCUAAAUGUUGUUCUACUAAAUGUUUUGACAACAUAUCAAAAACGAAAUCAUAAUAGGCCUAAUAAAUAUUUAUAAGGCCCAAAAGAAAACAUUAAAAGCCUAAAACGAGCACAAGCAGUUUUCAUAAAAUAGCUCUCACUUACGGUCGGAAGUGAGAAGAACUGAGCUCCUAGCGAAGGAGAGAAGGAAGAUGUCGGGAAUGGGGGACGGGCACGUGGGGACGUCGCAAGAUGGGGUGAGGAUACGGAGGCUGCAAAAGCAAAUAGAAGCUGAAUGGCGUAGCAAGAAGAGAAAGAUUAAGGGAAGCUCCCGCUUAUCACUAAAUUAAAACCACUGUCCCAUCUUUUUUUUUUUUUUUUUUUGUAAAACAGGCAUUCAAACCACUGUCCCAUCUUCCGCUGAAACAAUGGAUCUCAUCAUGUAUUAGGAGACUUUAGUUCUAGAAUUGUUUGUUGGAGGGGCUUUUGACAUGCAAAAAUAGCUUGCUGGCGCAUAGCCUCUUGAGUUAUAUAACAUAGUUGGUAACUUCUGUCCCGUGCACUAUUUAUGCAGAGAGUUCUGGGACAGUGAACUUGCGCUUCGGAAAACUUGGCAAGGACCCCUCAGUGGUAAUUAAUUUCCUGCCUGACAGUGAGCGGGAAGGCAGAGGAACAAGCUGAACGUGAAAGGCUAAAGAAGCAGUGGAUUCGUGAACAAGAGCAAUUAAAAGUUUGUCCCAGUUUCCAGUAGUAAAACAUAAACAUAAGGGGGUGUUUAUAUGCAAAAAUGUAGCAACACAGUUUCUACAAGCUGAUCAUUAACAAGGCCAGGGGGAAGAGUGGACCGACGUGAGAACAAUUGCAGAUGCAAAGAUCGAGAAAGACGAGUCGCAUGCGGGUAAAGUGGUGGAGAGGCAUUGGGAUGAAAAGAACAAGCAUACUUGUUCGUAAAGUAAAUGAUUUGAUAUUUGUUUAAGAAGCCUUAAUGGAAAUCGAGAGGAUUAUAAAGAUUGAGAUGAAGAACGAAAUCAAAUGCUCGUGGUGUGAACGAACGCGAAUUAAUCCUUAUAAGAAAUCAAAAGAACAAAACGAAUGCACCGUUGUUUUUUUUAUUACUGUGUGAAUUAAUAAUCUUAUAAACUCUUAAAUUCGUAUUUAUACCAGCUUCAAAACCUAAUUUACUUUUUUAUAAGAAUACAUAUUUAUAUAGAAAAAUUAAUUUUUAUAAAUCGGUAAAAAAACAUACCGUACCAGCGAAUACUGGACUUUUACUAGUGCACAGAGAUUUAAGACAAAUAGAUGCAAUACUCCGAAUAGAAUAGUGGGUCAUAGCAGAUGAUCGAUACACCUUCUAGCAUUAGUUAAAAAAUAUUCAAAACUCGGGUCACAAAAUGUGGUACGCUUUCAGUUAGUCUAUUAUAUCCACGGAACCGACCGGAUCAGUCGAUAUUUAUAAAAAAAUAAAAAAUAGAAUAGUGAUGAUAACGUGUUGACGUGUUGUUAUAGAAAAAUAUUUUUAAAUAUCUAUCUAUGCUAUUAUUUGUGAAUUGAUUUUUCGUCUCUAAACUUUCGUGUUAAAAGUUAAAAA